rnacentral:rRNA from 1 species
CCAAUAGCGUAUAUUAAAGUUGUUGCAGUUAAAAAGCUCGUAGUUGAAUUUCGGGGUUAGUAGGUUGGUCAUGCCACUGGUAUGUACUGGCCUCACUGAUUCCUCCUUCCUGAUGAGCCGUAAUGCCAUUAAUUUGGUGUUGCGAGGAAUCUGGACUGUUACUUUGAAAAAAUUAGAGUGUUUAAAGCAGGCUAACGCUUGAAUACAUUAGCAUGGAAUAAUGAAAUAGGACGUUCGAUCUUAUUUUGUUGGUUUCUAAGAUUGACGUAAUGAUUAAUAGGGAUAGUUGGGGGCAGUAGUAUUCAAUUGUAAGAGGUGAAAUUCUUGGAUUUAUUGAAGACUAACUACUGCGAAAGCAUUUGCCAAGGAUGUUUUCAUUAAUCAAGAACGAAAGUUAGGGGAUCGAAGACGAUCAGAUACCGUCGUAGUCUUAACCAUAAACUAUGCCGACUAGGGAUCGGAUGAUGUUAAUUUUUUAAUGACUCAUUCGGCGCCUUACG